UAGAAUAUGGUGUAUUAAUGGUAGCACGAAGAUUUUUGAAUUCUUAGGAGCAGGUUCAAUUCCUGUAAUUCUAG
rnacentral:tRNA from 1 species